UCCACAUUAUGCCAUUCUGCCACCGACGUAAUUUCCCGGCCGUCUAUUUCACCAUCCUUUCCUUUUCACCUUUUUUCUCAAAGAUACGGAGCACCCAGAUCAUAGCUAGAUUCCAGUAUCUACUCCAUGCAUGCCUGCUCCCCAUGUGCGCAUCGGUGGUGAUCACUAAAUUAGGACUUUAAUAUAUAGCUGCGCGCCUGCAAGGCAAUACUAGUAACUGGAAAUUAAGUACGUACGUACGUAGGCUAUGCAGAUUUUUUUUUUUUUUUAGGUAAUUAGUUACAUAAGAUUCCUUCGUUUGCAAGAAAAAGAUAAAGCCUGGGAGUGCUCAAGGCCACUCAUCUUGAUACUCUAACUCCUAGCUAAUUCCCUGCAUCUUAUCAAGAAUUCUGACCAGGUUCAGCUUGAGAUACGUGGAUAUCUCUAGUCUUUAACCAGUAGACUGUAGUAUAAAUGGUAGGCUUUCGGUGUAGAAACCUGCAGAUCGAAAGAGUAAGCUGCAGUAAGCGUCAGCUGUCCCCUGGAGUUCCCUUGACCACUUCAUUGGGGCUGAUCUUCUGAGUCGACCCUUAAGUUCCACUGAAGUGUUUGGGGGAACUCUUGGAGGCAACUGACAAUUGAACAAAUCCUCAUCAUGCUUUAGAUUAGGUUAAGAAUCUUAAUCCUAGGAUUAAGAUUCUUAAUGAGAGUCUAGUACUUCUAUAUAUCCAUGUUCCCUUAACUAGUUUAGGUUAAGAAGUAUUUAAGGAUUCCAAAAUCCUAGGGUUAAGAUUCUUUAUAUAUAAUUAUUUGUUCAAUUUUUUUUCUUUAUUAGAAAGAUAUAGAAAACCGGAUGAGAGCUAAUGACACGUCCGGGGUUUUUACUCGGAUCAUGCGGUGUUUUCCUGAUUUUAGGGGUAGUAAUCAUUUUGCUUUUUCGAGUUUAAAUUAACCAAGGAUUUCUCAUUUUUCUCACUUUGUAGGUCGACCAAGGGAUUUGGUGCAGAUGGUAAGGUUCGAACACCUUUCGUUCCUUAACUUGGCGCAGAAUGUAGUAUGUUUAAUCUGGUCAUAUAUAUGUGAGCUCUUUGCCUUCAUUUUUCUGAAUUUCCUUCAAGAAAAUUUUAUUUUUAGCAAGCACAUAGAUUGAGGAUAUAAUUUUGUUAUUAGUCUGUGCGUUAAACAGUGAUAAAGCGUUGGUCCAGUGGUCGUAAUGGCGGUGCUCCUUGGUGGACAUACUGGAGUGCUGGCAUUACAGGUACAAUUGGUCCAGCUAUGGGAAUCGAAGCAUUAAAGUAUAUCAGCUAUCCUGCCCAGGCAUGUCUCUAGUUAAUUCCACAUAAUUCGAUAGUUUCCUCAUUUUGGGAGGGUGGAGGUGUUGUUAUAAUACAGGGAGCUCUAGCAGUGGUCUCCAAGAUUCACUCUUGACUUUUUUUGAGAGAUUUUUCUAGUCGGAUACUCUGAAUCCAUCAGCAGUGUCAAAGCUAAGGGGACUGAGUUUGGCCCUGUUGCUGCCCCAAAAAUUUGCCGUACCUCCCAUAAAUUCUGAAAAUGCAGCGGCUUAAACGACAACCUGCCCCUCCCCGACCCCCUUUUUCUCCCCCAAACUUUGGCAAGCGAAGUUAAUAAGAGCCAGCUUGUGACAGUGAAGAAACGAAUAGAGUUAGAUGCAGUCUAGCACUUGUUGUGGGAGCUCUGUGGGGGAGAAAGCAUUUUGUCAGUUACAACUUAGCACUUGUAGAGGGAGCUUCGUAGUUUAUCCUUAACUAACAUGUGUCGGUGAAUCAAAAGCUGAAAUGUGUCCCGUAUGCGACACGUCAGCAAAUAUUUUUAAAAAAUAUAAUAAAAAUUUUAAAUUGAUUUUAAAAUAUUAAAAAAUACUUAAUAAAUUCAAACUAUUUAAGGUAUCUUUUCCAACCUGCCAACCUUCUAAAAAUAGUGAAACGCAUUUUAAAAAUUUUGUUUAUAGCAAAUAUUGGAGUCUACUUGGAACCCACAAUUCUGAAUUCUGCAAUAAUGAAGGGUAGGCCUGAACUGUCUCUGGAACCAUCAAAAUGAUCUAUGUUCAGAGCUCAAAGCUCGACUAAUCUGGGCUCUGAAAUAAGAUUUUAUGGCUCCGCUACUGUCUGUAAGCUUCUUUUUCUCCUUUUUUGUGUCCAGUGCUAAAUGAAUGGAAGGCUAUCUCUUCUUUCAUAUUACUUGUCCUCUUGCAAAAUCCUCAAGAAUGAUUCCGGGUGAGAUACUUAAUUAGAAAUUACAGACUUAACUGAAAUAAGUGUGCUGUCUAUUAGGUGUGAUGGUAUCUUAUUUAAAAGCAUAAUUUCACGGUGGAUACAGUAUCCUAUAUGUCCCUCAAUCCUCUUGUAACACGUUAAAAAAAUGAUCGUUACCUUCUUGUUGUUCAUUCCUCUCUUGCUUGAUGCCAUCUCUUGGGUGAAAGGCGUGGAGGAUCCUGGAGCUGAGAAUUGAAAAUAGAAUUUGCUUAAUUUAUA